GGGUGCAUAGCUCAACUGGCAGAGCUGCAGACCUUUAAUCUGAUGGUUAUAGGUUCGAGUCCUAUUGCACCCA
rnacentral:tRNA from 1 species